rnacentral:rRNA from 1 species
UACGGUAGGGUGCGAGCGUUGUCCGGAAUUAUUGGGCGUAAAGAGCUUGUAGGCGGUUUGUCGCGUCUGCUGUGAAAAUCCAGGGCUCAACCCCGGACUUGCAGUGGGUACGGGCAGACUAGAGUGUGGUAGGGGAGACUGGAAUUCCUGGUGUAGCGGUGAAAUGCGCAGAUAUCAGGAGGAACACCGAUGGCGAAGGCAGGUCUCUGGGCCACUACUGACGCUGAGAAGCGAAAGCAUGGGGAGCGAACAGGAUUAGAUA